UUGGAGGAGCUGAGGGAUGGAGUCAGAUCACUGCAUCACCAGCACUGAUGUUGGCUUUUAAACCAGUAGAAGUGAGGUUGGAGGUAACGGCAGCAUCCCCCUACCAGCCAAAUGCACCAACAAGCAGGAUUGAAUGGGAGACCAAAGGACAGAGUUUUCUACGUCUUCCCACAGAAGGGCUCAACGGAGCAGAUCCAGGCAGACAAAGGCAAAGGAGCUGAGAGACAGGUUAAAAACAAAUGCAGAUAUCCUCUGGAGGACACGGGUCAGCUCAGAAGUCUCAGGCAUUUAAACUUAACCAGCGACUGUGAAAGCAUUUCCAAAUCAGAAAGAAACUCCGCAGUGAAAAGGGCGAAAGAGGAGAAAAUCCCUAUUUUGUGACCUCAGGAAAAAGGAAAGUAUUUUUACAUAUUUCUUGUCUCAUAUUAAUUUGGGGGUGGGAGUUAAUAACCAUCUAAAGGCCAUCACUCACAACAGCGGUCCCAUUGGGACACAACCCUUCUGUACAGCUCUGGGUGCUGAUGCCCAGCAGGGGCUGAGCCCAUCCUCUGAGAUCCCAGGGGAGCACAGCAUCGCAUGGGCUCGGUCUGCCACUGCUCUGCAAGGAGCUCAGCCCCAGAGCAGGGCUGUAGGAACAAAGAGAAGUUCAUACAGAAAUCAGCUGAAAACCCGAGCGCGUAUUUUACCAAAUCGUUCCUAACGUUGCUCUGUGUUAUUUUGUUUCAAAGCAUGACAAAUGGAAACAAAAGAAACUGCAGACGUAGACCAAGAACAAAAGGCUGAGUGGCUGCACAAAGUGGAUGAGUAAAACGAAGGUAGCGAGCCUCAAGCUUCUCUAAAUGUCUUUCUAAUGCUAAUUAAAGCACCGCACGGAAUUUCCCAUGGGAGGCGUCGUGGAAAUUGAGCCUUGAGGUGGGAGUCUGAGUGAGGGAGAAAAAAAUUCUCUGCUGGGUUUCUCCCCCCUCCUCCCCCGGUCCUGUCUCACUCCAUCACUAUGCUGCUGUCUUGACAAAGUCCCAGCCCUGACCUCGAGGCCCCAAGCCAGUCCAGAGCCCUUCCUGCACCACACAGUGUGAGCAUCUCAUCCAGCAUCUCAUCCUCUGCGCUCUCUGGAAUCAUCUCAAGCCAUGUUCGCAGAGAUCAGACUUGGGAAGGACGCACGCUUACAGCAUGUUCCUGUUUCUCUACAAAGACCAAGCAACCAGCUUCCUUUCAGACUACUUCCAAACCUCACCCGUGCCUCAGCCACAUGAAAAGACAGAUGGAGGCAGAAAGCAGCUCAGCUCCACCGCUGUAGGCUCACGCACGCAUCGGGGCACCAGUCAGCAGCUGAUGGCACCAAGGACACUUGCAGGGAUGGACUAACACCAGCACUCUGCUCCUGCAUUCAACCUGGAAAGACUGUUAAUGCAAAGCAAACAAGAAAGGAGCAGACCUUAAACCACCAUCCCAGCCCAGCAUCCCUACAGAAGGUCUUGUACAGACAUGAGCCCUGCAUGCCUGCUCAGCUCCAGUGCAGCGUGUGGGGAAUUUGGUAAUUGUAUCGUGUGAUGGUUUUGCAGUUGAUAAGCAGCAGCCUUCCUCCUGCAAUGCUGUUAGUCUGGCUUCUUUAUGAAAACAACAUUUGUUUUCAAAAAAAAAAAGAAAAGAAAAGAUACUUAUGGCUGAUAAGUAUUAUUUGAUCAUUUUUGUGAAAUUUAAUUUGUUUUAUACUCAAUGCUCUCCAAACUACUAUGCAAAGUUAUACUUUAAGCAAAAAUGAUAUAAAUCAAAAAUAAACUCAAAAAAUCCUCACCCCUUUAAAGUACUGCUUGAGUAUUAUUUAACCACGAUGCAUGCAAAUUAAAUUCAAAUUAAAUAGCAAUGGGUGUGGUGCAUAUGCAAAUUACUAAACAUACCCAGUCCCCAUUUCCCCCAUUAUGAAAUGCCUACAGCUAUAAAUCCCUGACUUUACAAGCUGCUCAGCCUCUAAUACCAUCUUUGUCAUUGUAACGAGGCCAAAAGAAUGGAAGAUGGAGCAACAUCAGCUCAUCUCCAGUUUUUCAAUGCAUUUUGUAGGGGUCUUUGCAUGUAAGACGUGAUCCAGCUCUAAAAAUGACCUGUGCUUGGGGCACACUCAUCACUGCUAUUUUCAAAGGCGGGAUCAGUGCUUUUCUGAAGGAAAUAUGACGACUGCUCUCCUGACUGACCUACCUGGCACUGUCACAGCAGUGAGACAGAAAAACAGCGUGAGCUGAGCCUCAGGGAGGGCUGGGCUUCACACACAGGCUCUCCGUGGCUCAGGGCAGGAGGUUGGGCUGGUGAAGCUUUA